rnacentral:rRNA from 2 species
CCGCACAAGCGGUGGAGCAUGUGGUUUAAUUCGAUGCAACGCGAAGAACCUUACCUACUCUUGACAUCCACGGAAUUCGCCAGAGAUGGCUUAGUGCCUUCGGGAACCGUGAGACAGGUGCUGCAUGGCUGUCGUCAGCUCGUGUUGUGAAAUGUUGGGUUAAGUCCCGCAACGAGCGCAACCCUUAUCCUUUGUUGCCAGCACGUAAUGGUGGGAACUCAAAGGAGACUGCCGGUGAUAAACCGGAGGAAGGUGGGGAUGACGUCAAGUCAUCAUGGCCCUUACGAGUAGGGCUACACACGUGCUACAAUGGCAUAUACAAAGAGAAGCGAACUCGCGAGAGCAAGCGGACCUCAUAAAGUAUGUCGUAGUCCGGAUUGGAGUCUGCAACUCGACUCCAUGAAGUCGGAAUCGCUAGUAAUCGUAGAUCAGAAUGCUACG